rnacentral:rRNA from 1 species
UGGGUAACCUGCCUCAAAGAGGGGAAUAGCCUCCCGAAAGGGGAGAUUAAAUACCGCAUAAUAUGUUUAAGUCGCAUGACUUUAACAUCAAAAGGAUUUUCUUUUAGAAAUUCCACUUUGAGAUGGACCCGCGGCGCAUUAGCUAGUUGGUGAGGUAACGGCUCACCAAGGCAACGAUGCGUAGCCGACUGAGAGGGUGAUCGGCCACAUUGGAACUGAGACACGGUCCAGACUCCGUAGGAGG